GUCGUCGUGGCCGAGUGUUUAAGGCGACAUACUAGAAAUCUGUUGGGCAUCUGCCCGCACAGAUUCGAAUCCUGUCUGCGACG
rnacentral:tRNA from 1 species